rnacentral:rRNA from 1 species
UACAGAGGUCCCAAGCGUUGUUCGGAUUUACUGGGCGUAAAGGGUGUGUAGGCGGUCGGGUAAGUCCGAUGUGAAAUCUCAGAGCUCAACUCUGAAACUGCAUUGGAUACUAUUCGGCUUGAGGUCUGGAGGGGGGACUGGAAUUCUCGGUGUAGCAGUGAAAUGCGUAGAUAUGCGGAGGAACACCGAUGGCGAAGGCAAUCCCCUGGGCCUGUACUGACGCUCAUGCACGAAAGCGUGGGGAGCAAACAGG